UACGUAGGGGGCAAGCGUUGUCCGGAAUUAUUGGGCGUAAAGCGCGCGCAGGCGGUCUCUUAAGUCUGAUGUGAAAUCUCGCAGCUUAACUGUGAGCGGUUAUUGGAAACUGAGGGACUUGAGGACAGGUGAGGAGAGUGGAAUUCCACGUGUAGCGGUGAAAUGCGUAGAGAUGUGGAGGAACACCAGUGGCGAAGGCGACUCUCUAGUCUGUAUCUAACGCUGAGGUGCAAAAGCGUGGGUAGCCAACAGG
rnacentral:rRNA from 1 species